rnacentral:rRNA from 1 species
UACGGAGGGUGCAAGCGUUAUCCGGAUUCACUGGGUUUAAAGGGUGCGUAGGCGGGCGGAUAAGUCAGUGGUGAAAUCCCCGAGCUUAACUUGGGAACUGCCAUUGAUACUAUUUGUCUUGAAUGUCGUGGAGGUUAGCGGAAUAUGUCAUGUAGCGGUGAAAUGCUUAGAUAUGACAUAGAACACCUAUUGCGAAGGCAGCUAACUACGCGAAUAUUGACGCUGAGGCGCGAAAGCGUGGGGAGCAAACAGG